GAUGAACGCUAGCGGCAGGCUUAAUACAUGCAAGUCGAACGGCAGCACGGGGGCAACCCUGGUGGCGAGUGGCGGACGGGUGAGUAAUACAUCGGAACGUGCCCUGGAGUGGGGGAUAACGCAGCGAAAGCUACGCUAAUACCGCAUAUUCUGUGAGCAGGAAAGCAGGGGAUCGCAAGACCUUGCGCUUUGGGAGCGGCCGAUGUCGGAUUAGCUAGUUGGUGGGGUAAAGGCCUACCAAGGCGACGAUCCGUAGCGGGUCUGAGAGGAUGAUCCGCCACACUGGGACUGAGACACGGCCCAGACUCCUACGGGAGGCAGCAGUGGGGAAUUUUGGACAAUGGGCGGAAGCCUGAUCCAGCCAUGCCGCGUGAGUGAAGAAGGCCUCGGGUU
rnacentral:rRNA from 1 species